rnacentral:rRNA from 1 species
UACGGGGGGGGCAAGCGUUGUUCGGAAUUACUGGGCGUAAAGGGCUCGUAGGUGGCCAACUAAGUCAGACGUGAAAUCCCUCGGCUUAACCGGGGAACUGCGUCUGAUACUGGAUGGCUUGAGUUCGGGAGAGGGAUGCGGAAUUCCAGGUGUAGCGGUGAAAUGCGUAGAUAUCAGGAGGAACACCGGUGGCGAAGGCGCUCAUCUGGCCCAAUACUGACGCUGAGGCGCGAAAGCUAGGGGAGCAAACGGG